UACGUAGGGGGCGAGCGUUGUCCGGAUUUAUUGGGCGUAAAGAGCUCGUAGGCGGUUUGGUAAGUUGGAUGUGAAAUCUCCAGGUUCAACUUGGAGGGGUCAUUCGAUACUGCCAUGACUAGAGUUCGGUAGGGGAGUGUGGAAUUCCUGGUGGAGCGGUGAAAUGCGCAGAUAUCAGGAGGAACACCCGUAGCGAAGGCGGCACUCUGGGCCGGAACUGACGCUGAGGAGCGAAAGCGUGGGGAGCGAACAGG
rnacentral:rRNA from 1 species